rnacentral:lncRNA from 1 species
ACAACAUAUCGCCAUUCCGCUAGAGCUUUAAACGUCGGACGCCACAAAAAGCAACGCCCUCUGAGAACGCAAGGCAUGAUGGGUCCUCCGUCGAGCGCCGGCAGAUGCAGCACAGAGAUCAUGACGUGCACUGAUAGCAGGGACACAUGGAUCUGUCCUCAUUCAUCUGUUUUGAGAAGUUUCACACCAACUGUUUUAUAACAUCUUUCGAGACUUCCCUUUGUUUCUGCAGCCAAUCUCUCACCCAGAUGAGCUGGAAGUUUGUUUUUAUUUUCAACUCUGAAGGAUUAUCGUUAAGGAGGCAGCACACAAUGAAAGAGAAAUAUCCUCCCAAGCCUCAGAGGAGUGCUUCAUGUCCUGUGAUCCUCUAGUCCUGCUCCUUCAGCUGGAUAUUUCCUAACCUCAGGUGAACCCACGUUGC